UCUUCUUUCCCCAAACGCCAAUCCCGAUCCUUCUCCCUUCUUCCUCUCUUCUUCCCGAUCUCUCUAUGUUCUCUCUCGCGGGCAAGCGACGGCGACGGGAGCAAGGCUCCAGCUCCGGCGAUCCUUCUCCGCUGGCGUCGACGCCUAUUAAUCUCAGAUCCGGGCUGGUGUUCUUUCCUCUCCUCACUGUUGCCGAUCAUUUCUCAAGCCCUAACCUCUCAAUCGAUGGCCGACCAUCGCCCUUCAUGAGGUCGAGUUAGCAGCGCCUGAGGUACACGCGGUGCCCUAGUUUAGAUCUUGUAGUGGGAGCGAUUGAUUCCAAUCUGUGUCUCCUCAAGUUGGAUCGGAUAGGGCGACACCUCCUAGAGGCAACUGAUCGAGAGGUAUCCGGUUGGUGGACAGCAGCUGGAUUAGGGCAGUGAGGUGAGGUGCUGUUUUGGUGGAGUAUUUGCUUGAUUCCGGCCACCACAUCCCUGUCAACAAAUUGGCACAUCUGAGGCAAGUGGUCUUCCUGUUGAUGAUGUCUUAAUCCGGUCCAGUGAGGAUGAAUUCCAGUAUCUUGCUGUGGUGUUCUUUGAUCCAGUGAUAAUACCUUGUGUGGAUCAACAGAAGGGAGGGCUAAGCGUGAGGACUCUGAUUCGAGACAGGCAUCUCGACGUUGGAUUUGGCGUGAUACUACCUGCUCUUUGA